ACAAGUUCUUACAAGAGCAAGUCCGUUCACAGCAGGUACUCCUGGGAUCCAAGAUCUUUAGGUUGGAAGAGCUCCAGAGUAGAAGCCAAGAUCCAGCCGGGGACCAUGGUAGUCUGGCACCAGAGACUGAGGGGCUCGCUGAACCCUGUCAAGUUGUAAAACAGUGCCAAGCUUCUACAUCCAGGGCAGCACCCACAG